UGCGGGAUGGAUGCUGGUUUCCCAGCCUGGCUCAUAACCAGGACCACGCCGGUUCGAUUCCGGCUCCCGCGACCA
rnacentral:tRNA from 1 species